rnacentral:rRNA from 1 species
UGGGGAAUAUUGCACAAUGGGCGAAAGCCUGAUGCAGCGACGCCGCGUGAGGGAUGACGGCCUUCGGGUUGUAAACCUCUUUCAGCUAGGGAAGAAGCCAAAGUGA